GAUGAACGCUGGCGGCGUGCCUAAUACAUGCAAGUCGAGCGAAUGGAUUAAGAGCUUGCUCUUAUGAAGUUAGCGGCGGACGGGUGAGUAACACGUGGGUAACCUGCCCAUAAGACUGGGAUAACUCCGGGAAACCGGGGCUAAUACCGGAUAAUAUUUUGAACUGCAUGGUUCAAAAUUGAAAGGCGGCUUCGGCUGUCACUUAUGGCUGGACCCGCGUCGCAUUAGCUAGUUGGUGAGGUAACGGCUCACCAAGGCAACGAUGCGUAGCCGACCUGAGAGGGUGAUCGGCCACACUGGGACUGAGACACGGCCCAGACUCCUACGGGAGGCAGCAGUAGGGAAUCUUCCGCAAUGGACGAAAGUCUGACGGAGCAACGCCGCGUGAGUGAUGAAGGCUUUCGGGUCGUAAAACUCUGUUGUUAGGGAAGAACAAGUGCUAGUUGAAUAAGCUGGCACCUCGACGGUACCUAACCAGAAAGCCACGGCUAACUACGUGCCAGCAGCCGCAGUAA
rnacentral:rRNA from 1 species